AUGCCUAAGACAUGCAAGUCGAACGAGGUGGCCCGUUGAAGUCCUAGUGCUUGCACAAAGAUGGAUACGGAUUCCCACCUAGUGGCAGACGGGUGAGUAACACGUGGGUGACCUACCUUUUGUUGGGGAUAACAGUUGGAAACGAUUGCUAAUACCGAAUAAUAUAUAACUGUCAUGGUUAUAUUGAAAGGAGCCUUUAGAGCUUCGCGAAGAGAUGGGCCUGCGGCGUAUUAACUUGUUGGUGAGGUAACGGCUCACCAAGGUAGCGAUGCGUAGCCGAACUGAGAGGUUGAUCGGCCACACUGGGACUGAGACACGGCCCAGACUCCUACGGGAGACAGCAGUUAGGAAUAUUCGUCAAUGGGGGAAACCCUGAACGAGCAAUGCCGCGUGAGUGAAUGAAGGUCUUUGGAUUGUAAAAACUCUGUUGUAUGGAAAAAAUGGCUAGGUUAGGAAAUGAACUUAGUGUGAUGGUACCAUACCAGAAAGCCCCGGCUAACUACGUGCCAGCAGCUGC
rnacentral:rRNA from 1 species